GUGUGUGACUCCUAUGAAGCCGGAAGCGGGAAGUGGGAAGUGUGUACGAUCAUGGAGGACACGCGUGGCGUUCUGCCGUCUCUGCCGAAACAUUCCUAUUGGUUUGAUUUCUGGACGUUUCUGGUGUUUGAUGUCAUUCUUUUCUUAAUCAUUUACUUCGUCAUUCCCUGAGCGAGGUAAACUUGUUCACCUCUGGUCCAGUUCACCGUGAGAUCCUGAAACACAGCUAAUAUGGAUGGGAACGGUAGCUGCUGCUGGACUCAGUCUUGUCCCGUACUGAAACAAACAUUUCCCACUUUACUCACCUGCUUUUCUGCAGACAGAUUGAAAUGCAUUUAAUAACCCACAACUAUGAGGAAUCACUCAAAAUGACAAGAUACAUAUUAAUCUUUCUGGAUGCUUUGUACACAUUGUCCUCUAACAUAAUAUGAAUGUUAGCCAUGAGUGUGUGCACAAAUGUAUGUAUGUAUGUAUGAGAAAUUGAGUAAUUAAAUCUGUGUGACUUUUAAA